rnacentral:lncRNA from 1 species
AUUGAAAGUAAGAUUCCCCAUACUGCAAAAUGUGCUAGUUUUAAUGUAUGCAAAUGUUUCAUGUAUAUCAUUAUUGUCAGGUUUUACCUGUUGUAAGAAAUGGAUCUUAUAUGGAUAGACUUCCAGUGCUUUUUGCAAACAUCUUCCAUAGUGUUGUGUGCGGCAAAUUCAAUUGCCUUGCUACAAUGCGAGCAUUCAUUGUUCCUGCUGUAUUCUCAUUGGAUUGCUCAGUGACAGCUGUUGCAGCAUCUUCAGUCACCUGCAAUAUCCAUUGUUUUUGUCGUUGUUCCUCUUGAACUGCAAUGCUUCCUUUUUUCUUGAACCAAUGAACUAUUCAUCACAAAACACAGGAUGUUAGUGCACUCAUAUGCAAUGAUUUCUAUCUGCUAUACAAGCAAAGUGCUUU